AUGCGUCCUCCUGUACUGCUUUCUUGCCCGGGGCUGUUUUCUGCACUGUUACUGAAAAUGCACGCACUCAGUGAUGGACAGAGCUCACUACUGCACACACUCAGCGAUGGACAGCACUACUGCACGCACUCAGCGAUGGACAGAGCUCACUACUGCACACACUCAGCAAUGGACAGAGCUCACUACUGCACGCACUCAGCAAUGGACAGAGCUCACUACUGCACGCACUCAGCAAUGGACAGAGCUCACUACUGCACGCACUCAGUGAUGGACAGAGCUCACUGCUGCACACACUCAGCGAUGGACAGAGCUCACUACUGCACACACUCAGCGAUGGACAGAGCUCACUACUGCACGCACUCAGUGAUGGACAGAGCUCACUGCUGCACGCACUCAGCGAUGGACAGAGCUCACUGCUGCACGCACUCAGCGAUGGACAGAGCUCACUACUGCACGCACUCAGCGAUGGACAGAGCUCACUGCUGCACGCACUCAGCGAUGGACAGAGCUCACUACUGCACGCACUCAGUGAUGGACAGAGCUCACUACUGCACGCACUCAGCGAUGGACAGAGCUCACUGUUGCACACACUCAGCGAUGGACAGAGCUCACUACUGCACGCACUCAGCAAUGGACAGAGCUCACUACUGCAUGCACUCAGCGAUGGACAGCACUACUGCAUGCACUCAGCGAUGGACAGAGCUCACUACUGCACGCACUCAGCGAUGGACAGAGCUCACUACUGCACGCACUCAGCGAUGGACAGAGCUCACUACUGCAUGCACUCAGCGAUGGACAGAGCUCACUACUGCACGCACUCAGCAAUGGACAGAGCUCACUACUGCACACACUCAGCAAUGGACAGCACUACUGCAUGCACUCAGCGAUGGACAGAGCUCACUACUGCACACACUCAGCGAUGGACAGAGCUCACUACUGCACACACUCAGCAAUGGACAGCACUACUGCAUGCACUCAGCGAUGGACAGAGCUCACUACUGCACGCACUCAGCGAUGGACAGAGCUCACUACUGCACACACUCAGUGACUGACAGCACUACUGCAUGCACUCAGUGA
rnacentral:lncRNA from 1 species